rnacentral:lncRNA from 1 species
CUAAAGUUCUUUCGCUAGAAUGAAGGACUCUUACUUGGGUGGGAAUGGGUUGUCACUUGAACAACAUAUUUGUCGUCUGGACAAUGGCUCAAUUUAAACCAAAAUAAAUGCAGUGGCUUUCUUGCUUGCGAUCAGAAGACUAUCAUUGGGGUGACACAUUUUGUCACUUGGGCGAUAACUACAGAGAGUAAAGUGAAACUCUAGAAUAUUGGUUCUUAGGUGAUAUUUUCUCUCGUUUAGGAGAAAAUAACAUAGUUUCACCUAAUUCACAACAUCCAGAACUCAAAAUCAAACACCACAACAAUUCAAACCAACUCAUAGAUCAAAACACAAAUGCAAGCACAAAUUUACAUAAAACUAAGAAGGAUUAUCUUCCCUCACUUUAAUUAGUGUCCUUAAAGCUCACCCAG